GGGCGUGUAGCUCAGCGGUAGAGCACUUGGUUUACACCCAUGUGGUCGGGGGUUCGAUCCCCUCCGCGCCCACCA
rnacentral:tRNA from 1 species